rnacentral:lncRNA from 1 species
AGAUUUGGUUAUAAGAAAAUUGAAAUACACAGACUUGAACUAUAUAUAGUGUUAGUUACAAAUAACAGUGAGCCAGCUAAGUCAUAUGUAGUUCAAGUCUGUAUAUUAAAACAGUGAGCCAGAUACAAAGUACAAAUAACAGCUAUAAAACUACAAAUAACAGCUACAAAAUAUGUAGUUCAAGACCGUACAUUAAUGCAAACAGUAGUUUCAAUGUAGUCAAUUGCAGUUAAAUGUAGUGUUCAAUAACUACAAAAUAUGUAGCAGCAAACUACAUUGUGAGAGUAAUGUUUUAGUGUUAGAAUAAAAUAUCAUAACUAUUAUAUAGUGUUAGAAUAAAUAUAUGUAAAUUCUUACCUUGGACUCAUCUAAUUCAUUUCUCUUGUUGACAGCAUUCACUAAGCUUUUCAAAGAUUCAUCUAUGAACUCUCGAAGUUUUGAGGGUUCAUCAAAAACAUCAUUC